rnacentral:rRNA from 1 species
GACGAACGCUGGCGGCGUGCUUAACACAUGCAAGUCGAACGGAAAGGCCCUGCUUUCGUGGGGUGCUCGAGUGGCGAACGGGUGAGUAACACGUGAGUAACCUGCCCUUGACUUUGGGAUAACUUCAGGAAACUGAGGCUAAUACCGGAUCGGAGCUCCUGCUCCAUGGUGGGGGUUGGAAAGUUUCGGCGGUUGGGGAUGGACUGGCGGCUUAUCGGCUUGUUGGUGGGGUAGUGGCUUACCCAGGCUGGGACGGGUAGCCGGCCUGAGAGGGUGACCGGCGACAUUGGGACUGAGAGACGGACCAGACUGCUACGGGAGGCAGCAGUGGGGAAUAUGGCACAAUGGGCGGAAGCCUGAGGCAGCAACGCCGCGUGCGGGAUGACGGCCUUCUGGGUGUAAACCGCAUUCGCCUGUGACGAAGCGUUAGUGACGGUAAUGGGUAAAGAAGCACCGGCUAACUACGUG